CAGGGGGCUGCGCGCCGGGAGGGGGGCGCUGCUGGACCGAACCAAAGGGGCCCGCGGAGGGGGGCCGCGGUGGCUGAGCGGGCCCGGGCUGAGGGGAGCCCCCGUCGGGGGUGAAGCCGUGUGAGGGACCACAACGAGUGCCACAUCCAGUCGUUCCUUGCACGCCUCCGCCGAUGGGGACUCCUUCGCUGGGCAGCCCUUUCCGAGGGAAUUUUCCACAGGUCACCAGCAAGGUGACCCUGCUAGAGGAAGCCUUCCAGCUCUUUUGGCAGCUCGAGCAGAUCCGAGGGUGCGCUCAGAGGGAGUUCUACCACUGCCUCACUGUGUGAUCCUGAGUGGAGUUCUCAACCAUGGUGCCUUUUGCUGAAAAAGUGGGAUAAUAAGAACUGCUCAGUCGCAGUUCUGCCAGGACAGUCUUCAGUGCCUCCGGGUUAAGGUUUCAGAUGAGCCCCUCCAAGUUCCCUGUGAGGACUUUUCCCUUUGAAGAAAAAUAACUUUUUAUCUCCAUCACUCUGAGAAGCUCUCAAACCGAUUUUGUUCACGUUCCCAACUCUGGGCAAAGCCACAGCCACACAAUUCUACAGUCCAGGGUUUGAGAGGGAACAGUGGCCUUGUUUCCAGGAGAACAGCCUGAAACAGACUGCCCACAGGCAGCCAGGCCCGAGGGAUUGGGCAGCUCCAGGAAGCAGCUCGUGUUCCAGCACUGGAGCAGUUCCCACUGCUGCUCUGGGUGAAGCACAGCUUGCUUUACUGCCAGGCUCAGCCUGGCUAAUGGGCACAGCUGACCCUGAUUUUCACUUCAAAAAGAAGCCAUAGUUGGAAUGAUUUAGAAAAGCACGAUUUUCUAUACAGUGCCAGGGUUUGUGCAUGCAAAAAGAUCUGCAUUAGAUUAGAUCUGCUGGAUCUCUGGUGGUGUGUGGAGCUCCCACCCAUCUUCCAGGGCAUAAGAAAACCCUCACAGCUUUAGCACACAAGCAGUGCCACUUGUCACAUGCCAACAGCAGAAUAAAAGGGCCUGUUCAAGCCACAAGAUGAGAGGCUCAGGGGAAAAGUAGCCUUGAGUUACCUGGAUGCAGAAGAGAGAAUUCAGCACCUGUGGCAAUGAACAAAAUCAGGCCCUGUUAUCAGCUUGGACUGGUGCCACCAGCAGAGACAAUCUGCUGUUUCCAGUGUGCCAUUUCAGUGGAAGCUGUUUAGACCUAACCUGGGAAUACAAUGCUGGGAUUAUCAUCACAGCAGCCUUGGGAAACAGGAUUCCCUUCCUGAAAUUCAGUGUAGUUUUUGAAAUAAAACUAAUCUAAUUGCAUCCUCCAGUUCCCUUUUCGCAGUCACACCUGGGAGGGACACACAGGACAUAAUCAAAUUCUCUUUCCUGGCAUCUCAUGUACUAAUGAUCAUUGUCCUACCAGUACUUUGCAGGCUGAGUUGGCUUUCUUAGUUCCCAGGCAGCCCAAUUUGGGUUUUCCCCCAGCUUUUUAAUUAAGCAGAAAUAAAUUCCACUUCUAUGAACCGGUGGCCACAUUCUGCUCCCAGAUACUGAUAAAAAUGCAGAAUGAAUCACUUGCCUGUCAGCACUGGGUGGAACCCCCAACCUCCUCAUACCCACAGUGCAAAUUUUCAUCAAGCAGGAACUCCUGGCCAUUUACUGAAGGGGUGAUUGAGGAGCUGAGAGCACCACACAAUUUCCCUAAGUGGAGGAAAGGAAAACAAAAAGAGAUCUUGUUCUUCUUCUGAGGCACAGAUUGUUACCAUAUCACAAAAGCCAGCAGCUGAAAAGAUUCCAGUCAGGAAGCACCGUGCUUUGAGAACGGGUUAGACUGCCUGUCCUUGCCUGGGAGACUGACACUCAACGGAAUCUGGGAUGGAAAUGAGUUAUCCUGACUGCUGGGCUCACAGCCAUUAUCAGAUGCUGAAGUGUUUUACAUACCUCCUUCUCUGUGGGUUCCUCUUGUCAUUCCCCAGAACAAGUGCAAGAGCAGCUGCAUUCAGCUGUGGUGUCAGAUGAACGUUACCUUGAAAACCCAGAAAGCAAAAAACACUCCCAACCAGAGCGGCUCGACGUUGAGUGGCAGAGGUAGUAUUUUAUUUUUUUUUUUUGAGCAUCCCUCCUCAAGGACACUAAAUUUAGAGUUUGUAAAACAUCACUAACUGAAAACAAAACAUUGCCAAUAACAAAAAUGCAAACCUGCUGGAAAGGAAAAUGCAGCAGCAUUUAAGUAUCAGAAAACAUGAGAGCUAAAGUGCUUGAGAGAAUUUCUUAACUAUGCAGAGUCUGAAAUCAGUGUUCCCCUAGAAAUGCUAUUUUUAAAACAGCACUUGCCUGGCUGCAUAGGAUUUUUCACCAGUCUAUAGCAGGAUAACACUACUAAGCCAGAGCCAUUACCCCAAAGAGCUAGGAGCAACACAUUUCUUUCUAUCCCUCAUACUAAAAUAAAUUAUAUUCAAAGAAACACAUUAUAAAGUUCAGGCAGCUGAAGUUGGACUUCAAGGAACGUGACAGAAUGGAUUUCCCAUGCAGUGAAGUCGCUAGCAUGGCCUGAAGCUGAACAAAGCUUUGGUGGGAUUUAUAAAGUGCUGUCUUUUAGUGUUUUUUGCCUGUCUUUAGUAGUGUUUUUUUUUUUUUUUUUCACACCAGCACCGGGGUUGUGAGUUAAAAAAAAUUCUGAAAUAACAGACCAAUUUUCAGUGGAUGCUGGAGCCAGACAGACACUGCACAGUGCACACAAAUAACGUUAAAAAACUACAAACAAAUCAAACCAAAAAAACCCCAAGC